GGGGGUGUCGCAUAGCGGCAAUUGCAAAGGACUGUAAAUCCUUCGUCUUAUAGACUACGUUGGUUCGAGUCCAACCGCCCCCA
rnacentral:tRNA from 1 species